rfam:Canis lupus familiaris chromosome X, whole genome shotgun sequence.
AGGAGGAACAACCCCAGUGGCGGCGGCCAGCUCUCGAGCCCUGGAUUCAGCUCCUGCAGUAACUCUGGAGCUCUCCGUCUGCAGCGCCUGGAGCCUUCGGGGGCGG